GGGUUGUGAGGUUAAGCGACUAAGCGUACACGGUGGAUGCCCUGGCAGUCAGAGGCGAUGAAGGACGUGCUAAUCUGCGAUAAGCGUCGGUAAGGUGAUAUGAACCGUUAUAACCGGCGAUUUCCGAAUGGGGAAACCCAGUGUGUUUCGACACACUAUCAUUAACUGAAUCCAUAGGUUAAUGAGGCGAACCGGGGGAACUGAAACAUCUAAGUACCCCGAGGAAAAGAAAUCAACCGAGAUUCCCCCAGUAGCGGCGAGCGAACGGGGAGGAGCCCAGAGCCUGAAUCAGUGUGUGUGUUAGUGGAAGCGUCUGGAAAGGCGCGCGAUACAGGGUGACAGCCCCGUACACAAAAAUGCACAUACUGUGAGCUCGAUGAGUAGGGCGGGACACGUGGUAUCCUGUCUGAAUAUGGGGGGACCAUCCUCCAAGGCUAAAUACUCCUGACUGACCGAUAGUGAACCAGUACCGUGAGGGAAAGGCGAAAAGAACCCCGGCGAGGGGAGUGAAAAAGAACCUGAAACCGUGUACGUACAAGCAGUGGGAGCACGCUUCGGCGUGUGACUGCGUACCUUUUGUAUAAUGGGUCAGCGACUUAUAUUCUGUAGCAAGGUUAACCGAAUAGGGGAGCCGAAGGGAAACCGAGUCUUAACUGGGCGUUAAGUUGCAGGGUAUAGACCCGAAACCCGGUGAUCUAGCCAUGGGCAGGUUGAAGGUUGGGUAACACUAACUGGAGGACCGAACCGACUAAUGUUGAAAAAUUAGCGGAUGACUUGUGGCUGGGGGUGAAAGGCCAAUCAAACCGGGAGAUAGCUGGUUCUCCCCGAAAGCUAUUUAGGUAGCGCCUCGUGAAUUCAUCUCCGGGGGUAGAGCACUGUUUCGGCAAGGGGGUCAUCCCGACUUACCAACCCGAUGCAAACUGCGAAUACCGGAGAAUGUUAUUACGGGAGACACACGGCGGGUGCUAACGUCCGUCGUGAAGAGGGAAACAACCCAGACCGCCAGCUAAGGUCCCAAAGUCAUGGUUAAGUGGGAAACGAUGUGGGAAGGCCCAGACAGCCAGGAUGUUGGCUUAGAAGCAGCCAUCAUUUAAAGAAAGCGUAAUAGCUCACUGGUCGAGUCGGCCUGCGCGGAAGAUGUAACGGGGCUAAACCAUGCACCGAAGCUGCGGCAGCGACACUAUGUGUUGUUGGGUAGGGGAGCGUUCUGUAAGCCUGUGAAGGUGUGCUGUGAGGCAUGCUGGAGGUAUCAGAAGUGCGAAUGCUGACAUAAGUAACGAUAAAGCGGGUGAAAAGCCCGCUCGCCGGAAGACCAAGGGUUCCUGUCCAACGUUAAUCGGGGCAGGGUGAGUCGACCCCUAAGGCGAGGCCGAAAGGCGUAGUCGAUGGGAAACAGGUUAAUAUUCCUGUACUUGGUGUUACUGCGAAGGGGGGACGGAGAAGGCUAUGUUGGCCGGGCGACGGUUGUCCCGGUUUAAGCGUGUAGGCUGAUUUUCCAGGCAAAUCCGGAAAAUCAAGGCUGAGGCGUGAUGACGAGGCACUACGGUGCUGAAGCAACAAAUGCCCUGCUUCCAGGAAAAGCCUCUAAGCAUCAGGUAACAUCAAAUCGUACCCCAAACCGACACAGGUGGUCAGGUAGAGAAUACCAAGGCGCUUGAGAGAACUCGGGUGAAGGAACUAGGCAAAAUGGUGCCGUAACUUCGGGAGAAGGCACGCUGAUAUGUAGGUGAAGCGACUUGCUCGUGGAGCUGAAAUCAGUCGAAGAUACCAGCUGGCUGCAACUGUUUAUUAAAAACACAGCACUGUGCAAACACGAAAGUGGACGUAUACGGUGUGACGCCUGCCCGGUGCCGGAAGGUUAAUUGAUGGGGUUAGCGGUAACGCGAAGCUCUUGAUCGAAGCCCCGGUAAACGGCGGCCGUAACUAUAACGGUCCUAAGGUAGCGAAAUUCCUUGUCGGGUAAGUUCCGACCUGCACGAAUGGCGUAAUGAUGGCCAGGCUGUCUCCACCCGAGACUCAGUGAAAUUGAACUCGCUGUGAAGAUGCAGUGUACCCGCGGCAAGACGGAAAGACCCCGUGAACCUUUACUAUAGCUUGACACUGAACAUUGAGCCUUGAUGUGUAGGAUAGGUGGGAGGCUUUGAAGUGUGGACGCCAGUCUGCAUGGAGCCGACCUUGAAAUACCACCCUUUAAUGUUUGAUGUUCUAACGUUGACCCGUGAUCCGGGUUGCGGACAGUGUCUGGUGGGUAGUUUGACUGGGGCGGUCUCCUCCUAAAGAGUAACGGAGGAGCACGAAGGUUGGCUAAUCCUGGUCGGACAUCAGGAGGUUAGUGCAAUGGCAUAAGCCAGCUUGACUGCGAGCGUGACGGCGCGAGCAGGUGCGAAAGCAGGUCAUAGUGAUCCGGUGGUUCUGAAUGGAAGGGCCAUCGCUCAACGGAUAAAAGGUACUCCGGGGAUAACAGGCUGAUACCGCCCAAGAGUUCAUAUCGACGGCGGUGUUUGGCACCUCGAUGUCGGCUCAUCACAUCCUGGGGCUGAAGUAGGUCCCAAGGGUAUGGCUGUUCGCCAUUUAAAGUGGUACGCGAGCUGGGUUUAGAACGUCGUGAGACAGUUCGGUCCCUAUCUGCCGUGGGCGCUGGAGAACUGAGGGGGGCUGCUCCUAGUACGAGAGGACCGGAGUGGACGCAUCACUGGUGUUCGGGUUGUCAUGCCAAUGGCACUGCCCGGUAGCUAAAUGCGGAAGAGAUAAGUGCUGAAAGCAUCUAAGCACGAAACUUGCCCCGAGAUGAGUUCUCCCUGACUCCUUGAGAGUCCUGAAGGAACGUUGAAGACGACGACGUUGAUAGGCCGGGUGUGUAAGCGCAGCGAUGCGUUGAGCUAACCGGUACUAAUGAACCGUGAGGCUUAACCUUACAACGCCGAAG
rnacentral:rRNA from 1 species